rnacentral:rRNA from 1 species
GACGAACGCUGGCGGCGUGCCUAAUACAUGCAAGUUGAGCGCUGAAGGUUGGUACUUGUACCAACUGGAUUAGCAGCGAACGGGUGAGUAACGCGUGGGGAAUCUGCCUUUGAGCGGGGGACAACAUUUGGAAACGAAUGCUAAUACCGCAUAAAAACUUUAAACACAAGUUUUAAGUUUGAAAGAUGCAAUUGCAUCACUCAAAGAUGAUCCCGCGUUGUAUUAGCUAGUUGGUGAGGUAAAGGCUCACCAAGGCGAUGAUACAUAGCCGACCUGAGAGGGUGAUCGGCCAAAUUGGGAAUGAGACACGGCACAAACUUCUACGGGAGGCAGCAGGAGGGAAUCCUCGGGAAUGGAAGCAAGUCCGACCGAGGAACGCCGCGUGAGUGAAGAAGGGUUUCGGAUCGUAAAACUCUGUUGGUAGAGAAGAAAGUUGGUGAGAGUGGAAAGCUCAUCAAGUGACGGUAACUAACCAGAAAGGGACGGCUAACUACGUG